UGCAUAUCCAAUAAGCGGAGGAAAAGAAACUAACAAGGAUUCCCUUAGUAACGGCGAGUGAAGCGGGAAUAGCUCAAAUUUGAAAGCUGGCAGCAAUGUCCGCGUUGUAAUCUCGAGAAGUGUUUUCCGUGCUGGACCAUAGAUAUGUUCCUUGGAAUAGGAUGUCAUAGAGGGUGAGAACCCCGUACAUGCUAUGGACGCCCAGUGCUUUGUGAUACACUUUCGAAGAGUCGAGUUGUUUGGGAAUGCAGCUCAAAAUGGGUGGUAAAUUCCAUCUAAAGCUAAAUAUUGGGGAGAGACCGAUAGCAAACAAGUACCGUGAGGGAAAGAUGAAAAGCACUUUGGAAAGAGAGUUAAACAGUACGUGAAAUUGUCAAAAGGGAAGCGCUUCAAGUCAGAUAUGGCUUUGAAUGUUCAGCCUUUAGGUGUAUUCAUUUUUGGUCAGGCCAGCAUCGAUUUUGAACGUUGGAUAAGGGUAGAAGGAACGUAGCAUACUUUCGGGUAUGUGUUAUAGCCUUUUACUGGAUACAACGAUCGGGAUCGAGGUUCGCAGCACACCCUUUUUGGGCAGGUCUUCGGACACUUUUGUGCUUAGGAUGCUGGCGUAAUGGCUUGAAGCGACCCGUCUUGAA
rnacentral:rRNA from 1 species